rnacentral:rRNA from 1 species
GGCUCAGAACGAACGCUGGCGGCAGGCCUAACACAUGCAAGUCGAACGCUCCAGCAAUGGAGAGUGGCAGACGGGUGAGUAACGCGUGGGAACCUACCCUUUGGUUCGGAAUAGCCCAGGGAAACUUGGGGUAAUACCGGAUAAGCCCUUCGGGGGAAAGAUUUAUCGCCAAUGGAUGGGCCCGCGUCGGAUUAGCUAGUUGGUGGGGUAACGGCCUACCAAGGCGACGAUCCGUAGCUGGUCUGAGAGGAUGAUCAGCCACACUGGGACUGGGACACGGCCCAGACUCCUACGGGAGGCAGCAGUGGG